rnacentral:rRNA from 1 species
GUCUUUUAAUUGAAGGCUGGUAUGAAUGGUUGGAUGAAAAAUAUACUUUCUUUAUUUUAUAGAAAUAAAUUAACUUUUUAGUCAAAAGGCUAAGAUUUUAUUGUAGGACGAGAAGACCCUAUAGAACUUUAUUUUCUUUUUAUAUAACUUUUUUAGUUUUUAAUAAGUUUAUAUACCUAUGUUAAUUAUGUUGGGGUGACAGAAAAAAUAAUAUAACUUUUUCUAUUUUUUUCAUUUAUGUAUGUGUUUUUGAUCCUAUAUUAUGGAUAAUAAGAUUAAGUUACCUUAGGGAUAACAGCGUUAUUUUCUUAAAGAGUUCUUAUCGAUAAGAAAGUUUGCGACCUCGAUGUUGGAUUAAAAUAAGUGAUAGGAGCAGAAUAUUAUUUACUAGGUCUGUUCGACCUUUAAAUUUUUACA